GAAUGGUCGGUGGCCCUAUGCAUCCACAAUAACCAAGUUCCGCAAGCGUCAGUCUCCGCGGGUGUCGCGCCAAAAUAAACCGUCAUGUGCUUACGCGCCCUGAUUUUGCUGUUUCUGCUUGCAUCCGCAGUGCUGCGGACGGACGCUCAGGUGAUACCUGCAAGGGGGUACGAGCCUGCUCGUCCAUUGAAUGCGUACCCUCGGACGAGAGAGUAUCCUGUCGCAGUCGUGGAAGUGGAAACCGUGAGAGGGAUUCGCUGUGGGAACAUAGUCUGCCCAGUCAAUAGGCGAUGCGUGCAGCCCCAAAUCGGAUGCGUCCGCGAAGUUUGCAUCUCCUUACCGACGUGUGAGUAG